ACUCCUUAAUUCGCUCCACACGGGGGCGAAUCUACAUAGUAAUAAGGGUAGAACGUGCUACCCUUUUUUUUCAAAAAAAUAAUCGCAGAAAAAAAAAAUUAACCUAAUGUAACGCGUGCCGUUCUCUUCCUCUCACUCUCUCAAACUCAAAGCCUCUUCUCUAUUCUACUCUCCGUCUCUAUUUUCGCUUCACUUACCGGCCAGACGCUUCACUUACCGGUGAGUCUUGCUUCUUCGACUUUAGUCUUCGUCGAUCUUUGCUUCUUUGCUGGUACAAUUUCAGCAAAUUAAGGAACCACUUUCAGGCUUUAGCAAAUAAAUUGGGUGAUAGAUUAAUGUAGUGCAUAAUUAAGGAGAAAACGUCUUCUUGUACAAUUUCAGCAAAUAAUUUGGGUGAUAAAUGAACCGGAAAUUCAGGUAUCAACAUUUGAGAAAGCGCUUAUACUGGUAAAUAAGAAUGGUUAUGUUGUUAUUGAUGUUUUUUGUUUCCAAUCCUUUGGAGGAACCACUUUCUACAAUUUACAUUCGUGGGUAAGAUUCUUCAUCCUUUUCAAUAUAAUAUGCUCUUUCUCUUGCUACAUUGUCCAUUGAUUGCACCAAACCAACAAAACACACACAUGUAACAUUGUCAAUUGUGGUAUAGUACUUCAAUUUGACGAGUUCAUUUUUCUCGAUAGUUUUCUUUCAAUUAUGAGCAACUUUUGGUUUAAGAGAAUGAAUUUGUUGUUUUCUUUUUACUCACUGCCUAAACAGGUUGACUUUAUUUUUAGUUUUAGUUUAUUAUGGCCUAAAUCAAUUCUCCACCUAAACUGCUACUACUUUCAUGUCACAAACUUAUUUUGUGAAUUUUGAACAACUAUAUUACAAUUUGUGAAUCGUAAGUGACUUAGUCAAUUGAAGUAUGAUUUGUGAAGGAAGUUGAGGUUUUUUUCUUUUUAGUUUGGUCAAGAAGAUACUAGUUGAAGUUGAUCCAAAAUCCAAAUCUUCCUCCAACUUAACCAAGUUGAAAAUGAAGUGAUGACUUAUCUUGAGAAAUAUUUGUUUUCGGAGAUAAAAGGAUGAUACAUUUGUAAAUUGGUUCCAAAAUUUGAGAGCGCGUGGUGAACAAUCAUAAUUUUCUUUUGUUAAAGUACUUUCUAACAUUUUGAACUUGAUAGUCAUAGUUUUUUGUUGGUAUACGAUAGUAUCGUAAAAUUACGCUACCCCUGGCUGAAAAUCCUGGACCGCCCCUGUCCACACCGCUCGCCGUUUAGAGAAUUUAAUUGGUUAGUUUUUAUUUUAAUUGUUCGAAAAUAUCAGUUUCUUUGAUAAUAUGUUCAAUUCAGAAUUUUGGUAAUGGCUUCUCAAUUUGUUUGAUUUGAUUCAUUGAUUUAUUUGAUUCAUUAAAACAUAUAUAUAGAAUAUAGUUGAUGUUCUCAUCAUUGUUUUUUUUUUUUUUUUGAAGUGAAUGUUCUCGUCAUCUCUCUGUUUGUUAAUUAGAUUGAAGACCGAAAUUCUAAAAGCUUAUACUGUAUAAUCAUGUGAAUGAUGAUUGCAUGUUUUGGAACUAAAGCAACUUUGUCAGCACUUCUUUGGGACAGCAUGGUUCUUGCCUUCAUUGUCAUCGCUCAUAUCAGGAGCCCGCAACGACUGUUAAUUGUCAGAUGUGUUGUUUUAUGGGUUUGAGUUUUGUGAUUUAUAUCAGAACUCUGCCCCCUUCUUUUGAUUUAGGCUUUGUUAUUAAAUCUAUGUUGUAUAAGAAGAUUACUGUUGUGACAUGACUGGCAUAUUUGCUUUGCAGGUCUUGCAUUUGCUUAAAAGAUACUUAGGUGAAUAUGUUCAUGGACUUUCCCUUGAGGCUUUAAAAGUUAGUGUUUGGAAAGGAUGAUGGAACUAAUGGCGGAUUAGAGUAGCAAACAUGCAUGAUACAUCGAGAAGCAUGCCUACAUGGAUAAUGGAAUUGAAGAAUAAUGAAAGAAUGACCUUAAGAUUUGUUUAGGUUUAUUUAAGGAGAGAUAUAUAUAUUAUGAUUUUAUGAUUUAAUUUUCAGAUUAACUAUUUAUAUUUUAGAUGCAAUAGUAUGUUUUCGAUUGAGUA